rnacentral:rRNA from 1 species
GCUACCACAUCCAAGGAAGGCAGCAGGCGCGCAAAUUACCCAAUCCCGAUUCGGGGAGGUAGUGACAAUAAAUACUGAUACAGGGCUCUUUUGGGUCUUGUAAUUGGAAUGAGUACAAUUUAAAUCCCUUAACGAGGAACAAUUGGAGGGCAAGUCUGGUGCCAGCAGCCGCGGUAAUUCCAGCUCCAAUAGCGUAUAUUAAAGUUGUUGCAGUUAAAAAGCUCGUAGUUGAACCUUGGGUUUGGCUGCUCGGUCCGCCUAACCGCGUGAACUGAUGCGGCCGGAUCUUUCCUUCUGGCCAACCUCAUGCCCUUUAUUGGGUGUGCUGGGGAUCCAGGACUUUUACUUUGAAAAAAUUAGAGUGUUCAAAGCAGGCCUUUGCUCGAAUACAUUAGCAUGGAAUAAUAGAAUAGGACGGAGGUUCUAUUUUGUUGGUUUCUAGGACCGCUGUAAUGAUUAAUAGGGAUAGUCGGGGGCGUCAGUAUUCAAUUGUCAGAGGUGAAAUUCUUGGAUUUAUUGAAGACUAACUACUGCGAAAGCAUUCGCCAAGGAUGUUUUCAUUAAUCAGUGAACGAAAGUUAGGGGAUCGAAGACGAUCAGAUACCGUCGUAGUCUUAACCAUAAACUAUGCCGACUAGGGAUCGGACGGUGGUUUUUUUAUGCCCCGUUCGGCACCUUACGAGAAAUCAAAGUUUUUGGGCUCGGGGGGGAGUAUGGUCGCAAGGCUGAAAC